rnacentral:rRNA from 1 species
UACGUAGGGUGCGAGCGUUAAUCGGAAUUACUGGGCGUAAAGCGUGCGCAGGCGGUUCGUUGUGUCGGUGGUGAAAUCCCCGGGCUUAACCUGGGAAUGGCCAUGGAAACUGGCGAACUGGAGUGCGGCAGAGGGGGGUGGAAUUCCACGUGUAGCAGUGAAAUGCGUAGAGAUGUGGAGGAACACCAGUGGCGAAGGCGACUCUUUGGCCUGUAACUGACGCUGAGGCGCGAAAGCGUGGGGAGCAAACAGG